GGAAACUAGUGCGACCCUCCCUCUGUCCCCUCCUCAGGUGGACGGCAUACUAGAAAACUGGAUCUGGCAGAUGGUGGCCGCGCUGAAGUCUCAGCCGACCCAGCCAGUGAACGUGGGGCUGGUGGACUGGAUCACCCUGGCCCACGACCACUACACCAUCGCCGUCCGCAACACCCGCCUUGUGGGCAAGGAGGUCGCGGCUCUUCUCCGGUGGCUGGAGGAAUCUGUUCAAUUCUCUCGAAGCCAUGUUCACCUAAUUGGGUACAGCCUGGGUGCACACGUGUCAGGAUUUGCCGGCAGUUCCAUCGGUGGAACGCACAAGAUUGGGAGAAUCACAGGGCUGGAUGCCGCGGGACCUUUGUUUGAGGGAAGUUCCCCCAGCAAUCGUCUUUCUCCAGAUGAUGCCAAUUUUGUGGAUGCCAUUCAUACCUUUACCCGGGAGCACAUGGGCCUGAGCGUGGGCAUCAAACAGCCCAUAGGACACUAUGACUUCUAUCCCAACGGGGGCUCCUUCCAGCCUGGCUGCCACUUCCUAGAGCUCUACAGACAUAUUGCCCAGCACGGCUUCAAUGCCAUCACCCAGACCAUAAAAUGCUCCCACGAGCGAUCGGUGCACCUUUUCAUCGACUCCUUGCUGCACGCCGGCACGCAGAGCAUGGCCUACCUGUGUGGUGACAUGAACAGCUUCAGCCAGGGCCUGUGCCUGAGCUGCAAGAAGGGCCGCUGCAACACGCUGGGCUACCACGUCCGCCAGGAGCCGCGGAGCAAGAGCAAGAGGCUCUUCCUCGUAACGCGAGCCCAGUCCCCCUUCAAAG
rnacentral:sRNA from 1 species